UACGUAGGUGGCAAGCGUUGUCCGGAAUUAUUGGGCGUAAAGCGCGCGCAGGCGGUUUGGCAAGUCGGAUGUGAAAACCCGAAGCUCAACUUCGGGCCUGCAUCCGAAACUGCCCGACUAGAGGUAGGUAGGGGAGAUCGGAAUUCCUGGUGUAGCGGUGAAAUGCGCAGAUAUCAGGAGGAACACCGGUGGCGAAGGCGGAUCUCUGGGCCUUACCUGACGCUCAGGUGCGAAAGCUAGGGGAGCGAACAGG
rnacentral:rRNA from 1 species